AGCGAACGCUGGCGGCAGGCUUAACACAUGCAAGUCGAGCGGGUGUAGCAAUACAUCAGCGGCAGACGGGUGAGUAACGCGUGGGAACGUACCUUUUGGUUCUGAACAACCCAGGGAAACUUGGGCUAAUACCGGAUAAGCCCUUACGGGGAAAGAUUUAUCGCCGAAAGAUCGGCCCGCGUCUGAUUAGCUAGUUGGUGAGGUAAUGGCUCACCAAGGCGACGAUCAGUAGCUGGUCUGAGAGGAUGAUCAGCCACAUUGGGACUGAGACACGGCCCAAACUCCUACGGGAGGCAGCAGUGGGGAAUAUUGGACAAUGGGGCAACCCUGAUCCAGCCAUGCCGCGUGAGUGAUGAAGGCCCUAGGGUUGUAAAGCUCUUUUGUGCGGGAAGAUAAUGACGGUACCGCAAGAAUAAGCCCCGGCUAACUUCGUGCCAGCCGCCGCUGUAACAC
rnacentral:rRNA from 1 species